GUGACGGGCCCCUUAAAGGAGAAACAGAUCGCGUACGUGUGCAGAGAAACCCUCCAGGGCUUAUAUCACCUGCACGAAACUGGCAAAAUGCACAGAGACAUAAAGGGAGCCAACAUCCUUCUGACAGAGAGAGGAGAUG